rnacentral:misc_RNA from 1 species
AACGCACAUUGCGCCCCCUGGUAUUCCGGGGGGCAUGCCUGUCCGAGCGUCAUUGCUGCCCUCAAGCACGGCUUGUGUGUUGGGCCCCCGUCCCCCCCCAAGGGGACGGGCCCGAAAGGCAGCGGCGGCACCGUGUCCGGUCCUCGAGCGUAUGGGAAGCAACUUUUUUUGUCACCCGCUCCUGUAGGUCCGGCCGGCGGCCUGCCCAACCCCAACCUUUUUACUUUAACCAGGUUGACCUCGGAUCAGGUAGGGAUACCCGCUGAACUUAA